UUUUCUUCCCGUUGCUUCAGGUCAGGCUUGACUUGAUCGUGUAGUUCUUUCGGCCUAGUAAACAUCGACCGAUUUCAUUUAUCACCGGGGCUAGGGCCUGACAAACGUGUGUCAUUCAUAUAAGCACAAGUACUUAGUGAAAAUGCAACGGCGCCUGGUGAUUACAUAUGCCCAACCUGCGAUCGCAGCUGUGUAUCAAGGAUUGGCCUCUUUAGUCACACAAGAAGUUGCAUAGGGAAAAGAUCGUCUCUCGAGACGUAAAAUGCCACAGCGUGAGUAGAGGAUCAAAUUCAUACAAGUGUUCCUUUUGCCAUAGUGCCAUUAAAGGAUGGAAUAGUUUGCAUGAAUCAGCCAGGAAACCAACAACUUAGCGGAGUUGAAUUCAUUGCUUAACAUGCUUGAGUAGACUGACACACGAAAUGAGGACACAGGCUUGGGACACGCAGUUAGAGUCAAGUUUGAUCUGGGUGUCGACUGUAAACCCGUGUGGUCAUCAUCAUCAUCAUCAUCAAGCUCCAUUUGAGUGAGGGCUUGAUAGGCUCAAAUUCUCUCUUGCAAAAGCCCUGGACAGAAGGCCUGUUGUCUUGCGUAGUGCAUACACGUCACCAUACAGGUCGAGAAUUUUUGGUUUCCCAGAACUGUCGAGGCAUGUGGUAGAGUUGCUCUAAAAGCUUUGUAUGGGCCGUACUUCGUCGGUGACAUUGUAGACCUGUAUUGUAUCUCUUUACCACAGUGUGCCAAUUUGGCAAGUUAGUUCUUUUAUCAAUGUAUGUUCAUCUGAACGCAUAACGCUAGCCUAUAUAACGACGUUAUUAUAUUGAUUAGUCGCCUUCGUUGAUUACUAUAAUGAACCAGUGUUCAUAUCAUCUCAUUAAGCAUAAUCAAUGCUUGUUGUUUGCAUUACUUGUUUGGUUUAAUUGAUAUAUUCAAUUACUAAACUAUUAGGGGUGCCCGGGAAGACGAGCUAAGCUUGUAAACAUAUGACCCAUGACUGUGAUGAACAAUUUUAAUUUGACUUAUAAGUUAACACUUUUAGUUGUUUUUUAUUUUGUUUUUCUUUUGUUGUUUUUGUGUGUAUGUUAAUUUUUACGUUGCCUAGCUAUAACGGAAGUGGUCAAACAGAAAGUGUUAUUGAUUUGGAUCAAACAUUUGAUAUUUUGACUCGUUAUGUGCUCAAUAAUUUUCAAUUUUAAGAAAAAAAAAAGUUUUUUUCCCUCGUCUUCGUCCGAUGCUAGAGUUACGCCCCUCCAGCAGAUGUAAAUUUCCACGGUGCACCCAGCUUGAAAUAAUAGGCCACUAACCUGGUAUUGGUCAGAGAAUAAAAAGUAUAUGUAAUGUUGUAAUGGCCAAACGUCGCCUUUUUUAGUUCAAGAAACAAGAAAGAUGAACACGUCACAUGAUUUCAAAAGUAACUUUACGUUUUGCAAACAUUUUCAUUUUUAAGACUCUAUGUCUCUCUCUAUCUCUCUCUCCUAUUUUUUUUUUUAAUUUCAUUUAUUUGAAUGCAUAUCUACCAUUUCGAUCAAAUUCUUGCCAAAAAAAAAAAAAGGUGCAUAAGUCGUUCAUUUCCUGGAAAUCUCAGGC